GACAGAGGGUGCAAACGUUGUUCGGAAUUACUGGGCGUAAAGCGCGUGUAGGCGGCAGGGCAAGUCGGAUGUGAAAGCCCACGGCUCAACCGUGGAAGUGCACCCGAAACUGCCCCGCUAGAGUCUCGGAGAGGAAGGUGGAAUGCUUGGUGUAGAGGUGAAAUUCGUAGAUAUCAAGCGGAACACCGGUGGCGAAGGCGGCCUUCUGGACGAUGACUGACGCUGAGACGCGAAAGCGUGGGGAGCAAACAGGAUAAGAACCCUAGGUAGUCCAA
rnacentral:rRNA from 1 species